GAAACACCACGGUAGGAACACUAGAUACUACACUUUGGGAGAUUAACUUGGUAGACAAGAUAUCAAAUCAAGGCAAGAAAAAUGGCCCCUUUUACAACUAUUAGUUGGCAGAGUUACUACUGUAUAUAUAAUAUAUAAUUUUUACCAAAACAGUAACCAUAACAGUGACAUACUCAUCACACACACACACACACACACACGCACACGCACACACACACACACACACACACAUAUACAUACUGAGUGGAGAAGCAGGCUCUAAAAACUGUUUUUGAAGGUAUCCAGAUGGUACUUUUGGAAAUAUAGGCUUGAAGGCAAUUGCGAAUGUGAUUAAGGAUCUAAGAAAAACAAUGCCUUCCAAUUCAUAAGCAAUCUUGUGAACAUGGCCCAAUCCAUACACUUAACCCUAAAAGAAAUCUUCAAAUGCCUGGGUAUAGCUGCUCAGUUUGGCAAUCCUAGUAGUCAGAGAGAGGGGAAAUAGGAUGAUCUCUUUCAACUGCUUAUGCAAAAAAAAUCAACCAAAUAUUAGUGGAAAAAUUGUACUAACAGAUUCUUUGAAAUGAAAGCAGGAUUUCUGCUAGAAAUUCAUGUUGGAUUGUUAUUUGAGAAUCAGUGUUAAAGUCAGCCAAAUGAAAGAAAAGCAUAUGAUCAUCUCCCCAGACUGAGAAAAUAAUGCCUGACAGGAUUCACAGUGUUUUCUCCCUUGGCAUGGUCAAUCAACAAGAGGCAGAUGGAAUUUACCAACCCAAUACUGACAGAAUACCCAUCAAGACAGAUUGGAAAUUGCCUGCCCUUUUCCUUUUUUACCUCAGUGUACUUGAAGCCUAAGCCCAUUAUGUAAGUAAAGAUUAAAAGAAUUCUCAAUAUAAAAGGACAACAUAUCCCAUAUCUAUAAUUAUAUGUGAAAAUCAUAAAGAAUCUGUCAGAAUCCUUGGAGAACACCCAGAAGACAAAAUAAUGUACAAACUCUCCCAACUCAGCAUGUCAAAACAACUCCAUAUGCAUACAUUAGAAUGGAAUAUCUGGACAAUACCUAAGGAAGCAAGCAAAUUCAAAUAAAAUAUUUUUUAAAUAAGAAAUUUGGAACUCUAUUGUAUUGUGUGCCAACAUAAAAUUAAUAAAAAUUUCAGAAUCAAAAAUGGCAUGGAGAAUAUUUUUACUUUAUGCUAUCUCCUUCUUUAUAUUUCUCCUUUACUUUAUAGGUUUUCUAGGACUACAUUAGCCCACCGAAAAUAUAGGAUAUUUCUUUAUACAUUAAAGUCUGAUUAGCAACCUCCUUCCUCUUGUAAAACCCCUCCCAAAUAGCACUUUGAAUGAGAUUUUUUUUUUUUUUACUGGGCAAAGAGUUGUCAGAGAAUAGGCUUUAAUAUUCUUACUACUAUACUAUACUUUGACAUAUAGAAGUGUACAAGUGUCUACAUUUCAAAAUCUUUUAAAAUUAUUGGGUUACUAAAAAUUGAUUCAAACAAAUAAGUCCAUAAACUAUUAACUGAUUAUGUGGAAAAAUGAACUUUCCAUAUAUUGCAGGAUUGCUUUCAUACACAGUAAAUGUAAAAUAUAAUAUGUAAGGUCUGUUUAAACACAGAUUAACAUAUUUAUUUAUUUAUUUAUUUAUUUAUUUUUGGCUAACUUUGGUAAUUAAUUGCCUGAGAGCUUAAAAUUGCCUAUCGAUUACUUUUAAAUUAGAUCUUACACAUAAGCCUGGUUUUAGUUACUUAAAUAACAAAACAGGAGCUAGGCUAAUGUCCAUGCUGGCAUAGCUCAGGUCACAUUUAUUCAGGGGAA
rnacentral:lncRNA from 1 species